rnacentral:rRNA from 1 species
UACAGAGGGGGCAAGCGUUGUUCGGAAUUACUGGGCGUAAAGGGCGCGUAGGCGGCCUGCUAAGUCGAACGUGAAAUCCCUGGGCUCAACCCAGGAACUGCGUCCGAUACUGGUUGGCUUGAAUCCGGGAGAGGGAUGUGGAAUUCCAGGUGUAGCGGUGAAAUGCGUAGAUAUCUGGAGGAACACCGGUGGCGAAGGCGACAUCCUGGACCGGUAUUGACGCUGAGGCGCGAAAGCGCGGGGAGCGAACGGG